GAAUGAAGGCACAUCAAUGAGGUUGUGAUCUUUGUUUCGAAGGUUGGCAAUAGUAAUAUUUCAUUGCAGUUCUCCGUGCCUCUCAAAAACUCACUUUUGAGAUUGGCCUCGAACAAAUUGCUACAUA